rnacentral:tRNA from 1 species
GAGGUUGUAGCCCAGUGGUAGGGCACUUGCUUAGCACGCAUGAAGCCCUGAUUGGGUUCCAUCCCCAACACUGUAA